rnacentral:rRNA from 1 species
AGGGAAUAGAUACCCGGGUAGUCCACGCCGUAAACUAUGGAUGCUAGCUGUUGGCCGUAUCGACCCGGUCAGUAGCGAAAGCUAAACGCGUUAAGCAUCCCGCCUGUGGAGUACGGUCGCAAGACUAAAACAUAAAGGAAUUGACGGGGACCCGCACAAGCGGUGGAGCGUGUUGUUUAAAUUCGAUGCUAAGCGAAGAACCUUACCCAGGUUUGACAUCUUCGGAAUUACUACGAAAGUAGUGAGUGCCUUCGGGAACCGAAUGACAGGUGAUGCAUGGCCGUCGUCAGCUCGUGUCGUGAGAUGUUUGGUUGAGUCCAUCAACGAGCGCAACCCUUAUGAAUAGUUGUAUUUUCUAUUCAGACUGCCUCGGUAACGGGGUAGGAAGGAGGGGAUGAGGUCAGGUCAGUAUUUCCCUUACAUCUGGUGCU